rnacentral:rRNA from 1 species
UACAGGGGGUGCAAACGUUGCUCGGAAUCAUUGGGCGUAAAGCGCACGUAGGCGGUUCGUUAUGUCGGAUGUGAAAGCCCUUGGCUUAACCGAGGAAGUGCAUCCGAAACUGGCGAGCUAGAGUACGAAAGAGGAUCGCGGAAUUCCCGGUGUAGAGGUGAAAUUCGUAGAUAUCGGGGGGAACACCGGUGGCGAAGGCGGCCAACUGGACGAACACUGACGCUGAGACACGAAAGCGUGGGGAGCAAACAGG